AUUGAACGCUGGCGGCAGGCCUAACACAUGCAAGUCGAACGGUAGCACAGAGAGCUUGCUCUCGGGCGACGAGUGGCGGACGGGUGAGUAAUGUCUGGGAAACUGCCCGAUGGAGGGGGAUAACUACUGGAAACGGUAGCUAAUACCGCAUAACGCCGCAAGACCAAAGUGGGGGACCUUCGGGCCUCACACCAUCGGAUGUGCCCAGAUGGGAUUAGCUAGUAGGUGGGGUAAUGGCUCACCUAGGCGACGAUCCCUAGCUGGUCUGAGAGGAUGACCAGCCACACUGGAACUGAGACACGGUUCAGACUCCUACGGGAGGCAGCAGUGGGGAAUAUUGCACAAUGGGCGCAAGCCUGAUGCGGCCAUGCCGCGUGUAUGAAGAAGGCCUUCGGGUUGUAAAGUACUUUCAGCGGGGAGGAAGGCGGUGAAGUUAAUAGCUUCACCGAUUGACGUUACCCGCAGAAGAAGCACCGGCUAACUCCGUGCCAGCCGCCGCCGUAA
rnacentral:rRNA from 1 species